UUCGGGCAGUCACACAAAAUCGAGUUGGCCAGACGGAGGUGCGCCAGUAAAUCGCCAAAAAGGUGCAUUCUAAGGGCAAUGUUAGUUUCCCUGUACGCGAAAAAGAAGAAAAGCAUCACAGUGAAUUAAAUAAAUUGUGUUUCUUUGUGAUUUUUGCAGUGAAAAUGUUUCGCGAGUAAUAUUUAUAGGGCGCGAUGGCAGCACUUUUGACAUUUCGUGUGUUUUUUUGGAAAGCUCUCAAAGAAAAGUUGUUUUCGUGGAAAUCCGUGCUUACGGUUGUUUACCUCCUGCCAUGCUUUGUAACAGGACUCCUCCUCUUCACAUCCCAUGGGGAGCGUUCCAUCAGCUCAAUGGAAUUCAAUCCCAUUGACUCGGAAAGUUUAUUUUCAUUCUUUCCUGGAGCAGGGCAUGACAGUGUCUGCUUCACACCAGACACACCUUUCAAUGCUGAACUAAUAGAGCGUGUCCGCUUUAAGCUUGGAAUCCUACAUGAACGAGUUCAUGGAUUCCCAACUGUGGAGGCGAUGAGCAGCUUCACAGAGUCCCAUCCACGGGCUAAGAUUUUUGCGAUCAUCUUCCACAGCCCUGCAAAUAGCUCAAUGAAGUUCAGCUAUACCAUCCGGAACCGAAAUAUGGGUGUGAAUUUCGAUACUCAGCAAUUUUACUUGAACGACAUCAAAAGAAUAAACAAUCGAGUUGUGGACGAAUACAUUGAGAGUGGUUUUCUGGCACUACAGCAGAGCAUUGAUAGUGUCUACAUUGAACUUAUCACCAACACCGGAAGAGAGAACUUUGCGAUCGAGGUUGAACAUUUCCCUGCACUAUCGAGGACACAAAUAAGUAACAUUGAUGUAGUUAUCUUUGGGACGUUCUUUGCUCUUCUCCUCUUCAUGACGUCCACCUACCUCAUUCUCAUCCCGCUGGUCGAGGAGAAAGAAUGUGGCGUCAAUGCCCUGCUGAGGAUCGUCACAAAGUACUUUUACUUCAAUGACAUCACAAAAUUCAUUUUAAAUCUUAUUCUCUGCCUCAUUUUCGUCGUUAUUGCCUUUGCCAUGACAGCAUGGGUUAACUUGUGGGAAACUGUUCAAUUCCAAUAUCCCCUGAUUCUCUUCAUUCUCUUCCUCCUUGCUCUCAUGAGCUACUCUUGCUUCAUCAGCUUAUUCUUUCAAACGGUUGAAUAUGCAAAAAUUGGAGGAAUUCUCUUCUACCUCGUCCCCUUUUGCGUGAUCUUCUUCUACUCGGACAAUGCCAUCAUUAAUAAAUUGGAAUACAUCUUCUGUGGGAGUCUCUUCCUCAAUGGGAUGAUGAUCUUUCAGAAUUAUGUGGCAACGGGGCAUGUUUUCAAUGCAAGCAGCCUCGCAGCGAGCUCAUAUCUCGAAGCUGAAAAUGAUCACUUUGCUAUGGGAAAUAUUUAUGGAUUCCUACUGCUCAACACCUUCGUCUAUCUGGGGCUGUAUUUUCUCCUUGAGAAUUUCCAGCUGCUCGAUUGUCUGAAAUGUUUAUUCCGUGGAAAAAAUACCUGCUGGGUGACGCCAAAGGUGAAAAAUGGUCAAGCACAGCAGAUUGACAUGCAGAAUAUGCAACAGAGAGAGGGCGAGAGUGCUGUACGGAUUAGCAAUUUGAGCAAGACUUUCUAUUCAAUCAGGGGAAAGCAUAAGGUGGCCGUUAAUAGGGUCUCAUUGGACAUUCCAAAGAAUCAAAUAACAGCCCUUCUUGGGCACAAUGGUGCCGGGAAGACGACAACAAUGUGCAUGAUUAUUGGAACAUUGAGUCGCACAGGGGGCACAAUAUGCGUCGAAGGGUACACUGAUGCGAAGAAAUAUCAAAAAAUGAUCGGCUAUUGCCCACAGAAGAAUGUCUUUAUGAAGUACUUUACGUGUCGGGAGCAUGUUAUAUUUUUUGGACGUUUGCGUGGUCUCACUGAAGAGGAAGCUCGAACGGAGAGUGAUAAGAUUUUGAAUGAUGUUAAGCUCUUGCCGAAAGGAAGUUGCCAUCCGAAGAAACUCUCGGGUGGGAUGAAGAGACGCUUGUGCCUGGCAAUGGGUGUUAUUGGGAAUACAAAAGUUGUUAUUCUCGAUGAACCAACUUCGGGGCUUGAUCCGGAAAGUCGUCGGGAAUUGUGGGAUGUACUGCUGGCAUUGAGGAAGGAACGAGCUGUCCUCAUAACAACACACUACAUGGAAGAAGCGGAUAUACUUGGGGAUAAAAUUGCAAUUAUGGAGAAUGGUACAAUUGUUUGUCAUGGAACGAGUCUUGAGCUCAAGAGGAAAUACACAUCGGGGUACAUUUUGAAGGUAAUGGCGGCAAAUGAGAAUUUCAAUUCCGAAGUAACGGAGAGUUUUGUGAGGAAACAAAUUACCAAAGCACGCAUACGAUCAUUCAAUGAUCCAACAUUGAGUAUCUCCCUGCCGUAUGAAGAGGAGGAGAGGUAUUCAAAGAUUCUCAGUGAUUUGGAGACUUGCAGAAAUAAUCUCUGCAUUGAUUCCGUUAGCAUUACCAAUGCCACCCUUGAGGAAGUUUUCUUGCGUUGCGCUGAGAAAGAUUGCACGGAUAUGGUGGUGAAUAUGGCAAAUGGUCAGGGAUGCGAUGAAAUUGAUUCAAUACAGGGAUACCGUCCGGUUAGUGAGGAGGAAGCAAUUCUCACACAGAGACGCUCCUGUGGUACAAAGUUCCAACAAAUGAAGGCAAUCAUCUACAAGAAAUUCUACUACCUCUGGCGCGAUAGAAUCUACAGCACAAUAAUGUUUCUCAUUCCCUUUGUGGCAUUGAUCCUUUCAUUCAUCCUCAUCCGAAUGAGUGUGACGAAAACGGAACAAACUGAGCUGGUUUUGAAUUUUUCUUCCUAUCGCGCACCUCAAAUUCACCUCACUAUGGCAAAUGCAACAGGCAGUGACUUUGAAAGGAGACUCCUGGAGACAUUUGUGCGUGUGGCACGAGAGCAAAAUGUUAACUUGAUCACACAUUCAAAUCGAAGGAUUGAGGAGGAGUUGCUGUAUCAGGAACUUGAGAAUCGCAUAAAGUACUAUGAGAACGUCGUUGCAGGAAUUGAAGUUUCAAUGCUCAACGCUCAAACGCCGCACGUGAAGAUUCUCUUCUCCGGGAAUGCCCUUCAUAGCUCCGUUAUGGCACAGAAUCUUGUCUCCAAUGCCAUCCUUCAAACAACCCGUGGCCAUAGUGCGUCAAUUGAGACACGAAGUGCACCAAUGCUGCAGAAGGAUAUUGGAAUUAAUCGGUAUCACAUGAACAUUUACGAAUCCCUCGUUCCUCUGGGCUUCUUCAUCUACAUCCUGUACUUUGUGGGAGCACCGUUCGCGGAGGAAUCAUCGGAAUUUAAGACACUACACUGCACAAAUCCUUGCUUGUACUGGAUCACAACAUUCCUCUUUGAUCUUUUCAUUCAUAUCUUCAUCUGCAUCAUGCUCUUCAUCGUGGCGAGUCAACUGGUAGACACGAGGGGAGUUCUGUCGCAGGAUACACAUCUCAGAUUGACGACAAUUUACAUCUUCUACGGAAUGGCAAUGCUCCCGCUUAUCUACAUCCUCACAAAGUAUUUCAAGAGUAUGGAGAAUCUUUUCACUUUUGUCUCCUACCUCGCUCUCUUUGCCACCAUCCUGGCGCAGCUUCUUUCAACGUCGGAUGAUAAAAUACGAGAAUACUUGUACUGGAGUCGUUUAUUCCACAUUAUACCGGAUUUUGCAAUGAGGCACACCAUGGCAUUGGUUAUUGUGGGAUACUUUGCAACGGGAACGCCAAAGAAUCGGGAAGAUUUUCUGCAUAAUCAUCAAAUGAGUUCUGCAAGCCUCUCAGAUGAUUUUCUCAGUCCCUACGAUACUUCUUUCUACUUCUUUGCCAUGACCCUUUUCAUGGUAGUCAGUCUCACGCUGCUUAUUUACUUCUGCGAAAACAUCUACUACGGACGGAGCUUAACGCACCUCAAGAUGCGAAUUAAGAAACCCAAAAAGGAUGGAAGAAUGAGGAAGAAUUCAAAGAGAUCUGUCGAUGCUGUUGACUCUCCGGUUCGUGUGGAUGUACAAGAUCAAGUGGAUGCUGAUGUGCAAAAGGAGGAGAAUGAGACGGAGAAAUGCGAGCAAGAGCAAAAGUACGAUAAGUAUGCAAUUGUGGUGAGAAAUCUCGAAAAGAUUUUCCCCGGUGGGGUUGUUGCAGUGAAGGGUUUGAAUUUCCGCAUUCACAAAGGUGAAUGCUUCGGGUUGUUGGGAAUGAAUGGUGCCGGAAAGACAACAACAUUCAAGAUGAUGACACUCAAUGAGAGCAUCACGCGUGGAUCAAUACAUCUCAGUCACAUGGAUAGCAUAGCACAUGCUAAUAUGUACAAACUCUCCUACGGAUACUGCCCGCAGAUUGAUGCUCUCCACAUGGCACUAACGGCCGAAGAGACCCUCAAGUAUUUCGCUCGAAUGCGGGGAAUUUCGGGGAAUGAGGAGCUACAGAAUGAAGUGGACACGUGGCUGAGAAAGGUGGAUCUUGAGGACUAUCGCAAUGUUCAGAACCCAUUGCCACGAUUGAGAAUGUACCCUUGAACGUUGAGAGAGUCCAGAAUGUCCUGGAGGACAUUCUUCACGCCCAACUUGUUUGCAAUGUUCGUAAAUUCAUCCAUGUGAAAUUCCGGAUGACCUUUCUGGAAGGCACGAUCCUGGCACUCGGCAAAGAAUUUUCGUACGAGAACGGAUUUACUCAUUCCGGAACCAUGCAUACCACGUUGCCAGUCAACGGUGAGUCCACCAUCUGGACUCAGUACGUCUGCCAUGCUGUACCGCAUCAGUUCAAUCACAUCCUGUGCAUGAUGAACUUCUGCUACUUCACAGAGAUCCAGUCGAGCACGUGCCAGGGUCAUUCGUGUUAAUCCCUCGAGCUGACGCACCGUGACCGGAAUGUGGUACGAGCGAUCCUGGAUACGACGCAAUUCCAGGUAAAACUUCUUCAACAGCUCCCCGGCAUCUUUGGACAGUCGAACGGUAAUCUUUUCCUGAGCAUACGCGAUGUAUUUCUCAAAUAGAGCAUGCGGUAGGGCAUCCAAGUCUUCCCCAGGACGCAAUUCAAGGCGUUUGUAGAGGGGCGUUGUGGGGGAAUCAUUCGAUUGGGAACGUAGCCAAUUGUCCUUGCGCUGUUCAUCGAGAAUGACGAAGGAGAUGUCGAAGCGAGACAAGAUAGCGGGAUGAAGUUUGAUGUUCUCGCAGACGGUUUUGGAGCGAUCGUAGUGGCCAUUGGCGGGAUUUCCAGCCGCCAGGAUGACUGUUCGUGCAGGUAGAGUACAAAUUGCUCCUGCCUUGGCCACACUGACACUCUGCUGUUCCAUCACCUCGAGCAUAGAAGCAUGAUUUACGGCCAUUUUGUCGAAUUCAUCAAUGCAACAGACACCCUGAUCAGCCAAGACGAGGGCUCCUGCUUCAAUGGAGCACGAUCCAUCUUCCUUCUCAGCCUUAACCGUUGCCGUGAGGCCUAUAAACAUUCAGGUAAGUAUGUUUUAAACACAAAAGAUUCCUUUAUUAAAUUCGUUUACCUGUGACUGAACUUCCUGAGCAACUUGUGAAGAUGGCACGUGGGGCAACGCUACAGCAAGCCUUAAGGAGGCAACUUUUACCCAAUCCAGGAUCACCGACAAUCAAGACAUGCAGUUCUUGGCGAUGAUCCCUAUUUGUGGACAUGUUGGCACUAAAGAGACCCAAAAGAAAGCCAAAUUUGAUCAUUUCAUGCCCCCUAACAGCUGGACACAGGGAGUGAACGAGAAGACGCAGCGGAAAGGCAUCCGUCUUGAUGAGUUCAAUAGCACGUAGAGAUUUCUCCGUGAAUUCUGUUGUUUUCUUAACAACGGGAUUCGAUGUGCUGACCACAUUCACCGCAUGAAUGUAGUAAGUGCAAUUCUGUGGUUUAUCCGAUUUACGAUCAUCUGUGCGAAGUUUCAGCACCCCCGUGACCCUAACAUCCCCACCUGGGUAGACAGAGUUCACCAGAUCAUUGGUCAGCGUUACUUCGAUACUUCUGGGCUUCCGGAAGAUGUCACGAUUCUUAUCCUCAAUACUCUCCUCCACAAGGAUGGUUUGGAUGCUUGAGGUACGAGUGAAGGGAGACCCAAUGAGGGGUUCAAAGCCAGACCUUGCAGUACAUGCACUUCCUUUGCAGGAUUUGGGGUAAGUCAGCACUCCAUCGGGUUGUCGUACAGUUUGAGGUGUUUGGCAUUCGGGGCAUUUAAAUGCCAUCCAUGUGCAAAUAAUAUCAGACGGUCCGAGACGUGCCACAGUCCCAAUGAAGCAAAUCAUCUUAUCACAGCUGGUCAUUUUGAGUGAUCUCAGCUGCAUGGCUGGUCCAAAACCCACAAUUCGCGGUGAAAUGGUCUGAAGGCAUCCAAUCUCCUGACCUCGGAGGAAAUGUAAAAGUCUGUGAUGCAUAGCAAUGCCUACAUAGGCGAGUGUUUGUUCAGGGCAUCCAGGCUCACAUCGAAAUGGAGCUUCCGAUGGAUUUGUCUUAAAUCAUACAGAUGUGUACUACAUUUCUCAAUGUGAUCCUCAAAGGCUGCAACCUUUACGGCGCUCGGAGAUCCCUCCAUGUGUGCUUCGCGUGGAAGGUAAAGCUUCCAAUCCGGGUAUUUCUUUUCUGACUGUGUUACAGCAAAAUUGGCCAUGGUGCGUCGUCGAUUAACUGGAGCAGCCUCAAUUUGCGGAGAUUCUCCACCGACUCCGGAAGGAAUGGCGAUUGUGACUGGCUUCUCUCGGGGAGGAUCAUUUCUCCGGGAAGCCCAGAAACGCGGGUAGAAUGGUCGUCGACUACCACCACCUCCGCGGCCGGAUCCUCCUCUUCCACGACUACUUUCCUGCCCAUCUCCUGAUGUUCUUCCUCUGCCACGGCCCCCGCCGCGACCGCCUCUCGACGGGCCAGGAACUGGCGGUAUUCGUGAUGUAUUUGGAUCACGAUUCUCACCACCUGGAGGUCCAGUGGGUGCUCCAACUGCUGCCAUAUCUAAGAGGUAAGACACAUCCAAAAAAAGUUAUUGAAUAAAGUUUUAUUUUUCAAUAAAAAAAAUA